rnacentral:rRNA from 1 species
GAUGAACGCUGGCGGCGUGCCUAAUACAUGCAAGUCGAGCGAAUGGAUUAAGAGCUUGCUCUUAUGAAGUUAGCGCCGGACGGGUGAGUAACACGUGGGUAACCUGCCCAUAAGACUGGGAUAACUCCGGGAAACCGGGGCUAAUACCGGAUAACAUUUUGAACCGCAUGGUUCGAAAUUGAAAGGCGGCUUCGGCUGUCACUUAUGGAUGGACCCGCGUCGCAUUAGCUAGUUGGUGAGGUAACGGCUCACCAAGGCAACGAUGGGUAGCCGACCUGAGAGGGUGGUCGGCAACACGGGGACUGAGACCCGGCCCAGACUCCUACGGGAGGCAGGAGUAGGGAAUCUUCCGCAAUGGACGAAAGUGUGACGGAGCAACGCCGCGUGAGUGAUGAAGGCUUUCGGGUCGUAAAACUCUGUUGUUAGGGAAGAACAAGUGCUAGUUGAAUAAGCUGGCACCUUGACGGCACCUAACCAGAAAGCCACGGCUAACUACGUGCCAGCCGCCGCCGUAA